GAUGAACACGGAAAAAUCUGAUGGCUGUUGUACCUCAUCACCACUGCCAUAAAUCUCACACAUCGUUCCUCUGCUGAAACAGUGCAGCCAGUGCAACGGUUUCCCCCUGAGGUCCAGCAUGUUACAGAAGACCCGACCACCCAAUGGAUAAAUGGGUAAAAUUCAUCACAGUGGCUCAGGAGAGCCAUGAUCCUCUUACGUUCAUGUUAGAGUUUUCCCGUCUUGCUGUCACCAGCCAGGUCGAGGAGGAAGCCCUAAAGACCCUGUUCUGGAUCGGGGCGAACUUUCACAGCCCCAUCAACCUCCCAGACACCACCGGACUGAACUGGAGGGAAGCCGUGCUGAUGUGUCUGGAGAGCAUGCACCCCGAUCCAGAACCCAGCCAAGCCCAGUGCUCAGCCAGAAACCCACGGACGGCGAGGAAAGACAGCUUCUACUCACCACAGAUGGAGUUAAUGACUCCACCGCAAUGUUAGAGCCUGCGCUAAGAGGAGCGACCGAGCUUGACAUCACACCGGAGCCUGAGGGGAGUCCAUCUGAGGAAAGGUCUGAGUCGGCUGUCCCAUCAUGCGCCGAGGGAGUAGGUGUCGGAGUCGAGGGGUUGGUCAGAAGCCCCGCCCACCCGCCCGUCACUGAGAGUGAGUUUCUGGACAACAACACAGACUCAACCCUUCAUCUGCCUAACUGUUCUAUAUUGGAUUGACUGGUCCCACCCAGCCUUCCUCUCCCACCUCCCUCAGGGCGUGAGGAUCCCGUGGCUCCGCCUCCAGCUUCUGAUCGUGUCAUUCCACCUCGACCCGUCGCCCUGACUUCUCCACUUGUGCUCCUCCCUCCCUCGAUGUCUGCAGGGACCUUCGAGCGUUCGGCUUCGCUGAGCUCCCUCAGAUCAUCGGCUUCACCUGAGUCAGACAUCGCGUCACCUUCGCCACAGACUUGCGGGCCGUCCGUUGCUCUCCGGCCCUCCACCCCUACAGCUCUGGCUAGCUCCGCUCUCCCUCAGGCUCCACCUCCGCCCUCGGUCACUCCAGCUACACUUCAGCCCUCCGGAUCCCUGCAUCCAUCUCGGGGGGUCGUCGUUGCGGCUCCGUCGUGGUCGUUUGGGUCUUCGGCAUCACUCCACUCCAUCAGCCCUCCAUCUGCGCUGUGGGUUCCUUCUUCUUCGUCGCUCGUCCCCAAGGUGGCGCUGAAGCCUUCACCACCAUGGCUCCUCCCUCCAGUGCCGCCGCCAUGGUCCACCAUCCUGGCUGUGGCCUGGGCCAACCUCGUGCUCCUCCUCCCAGUUGGCCGUCCUCCUCCAGAGCCACCUCCUGCAUCAUCUGUCAUCUCACCAUCACUCCGUCCACCUCCAGAAGGAUGGUAUCAGCAUCUGCUAACUCAGACAUGUGGAAUGACAUCUGAUUCUUGACAUGGAAAAAGGGCUGUUCAGUUCAUACUUUGAGCUGGAAACUGAUGGGAGAAUGUGAAUUCUCAGAGUUUAAACACAGACAUGAACUUUUCAUUUGAAGGCAGAUUGUUCUCUGGAGGAUGUCAGUAAAGUCAAAAGUUAUCAUAGAAAACAUGUUGCUGGUCGUUUGAUCAAAACGAUUACACAGAAAAGACAUAGUGAUUUUCUAAUCUCUGCUGCCCUGAAAUUAUUCUAAUUUCUAAAAUAUUCAAAGCUAAUUUGUAUGUAAGUGAUUCACCCUCAUUUGUAAGUCACUUUGGUUAAAAGCAUCUGCUAAUUAAAUGAAUGUAAAUGUAAGUUUUAUUUGAUGUACAUUUACCAGCUCUGAUUUAAUUACAAAUUACGUAAUUUGCUGCAUUCACGCCAUGGUGUAAUUACCUUAGUCUCCAGAUGAUGUGAUGUUAUAUUCUGAGUUGUUCACAUCCUUGGACUGGGAAUUAUGCGUUUCUAUGGCACCACUAUCAACGUGAAUAAUGAAUCUGCAGUGGUCAGGUGUUUACAGCGAUCACGUGGUACAAGUAGGAGCUCUCAGAAGAUUUCCAAGCUGUAAUUACAAGCUCUACGAGGACGUAAAUCCUUUUUAAAUGUUGAAAUCACAUAAUUGUUGUAAUUGUGACAUGUUGUGAACGCACCUAUUGGCUAGUUGCACAUUUUGAAAAUAUAGAGUUAAUGUAGUAAAAUUGUAGAUGAAGUUAGCAACUUUUUUAAAAGAGUAGUUUAACUGUAGUUUAAGCCUUUAAAGCCUGACACAUAAAAUAAGUUAGAAAAGUCAGUUUAUUGAGGCAUUAGACAAUAUAUUUAUUUAUACUAUGGGACUGGAGUAACAUGCAACUGGUCAUUACCAUAGGCAUCAACAAGAAGUCGCUCAACCCAUUCCAAAUACAUGUCUUCAUCGUGACCUCAUUCCAGGAGACCUAAUGGCACAGUUCCAAAAUCUCCACAAAAUCCUCCAAAGGAUCAAGACACAUCCGUAUCCAAUGUUUGCUUCACUUCCUGUCUCCUGAGACCUUCAUCUGAUUUUGGAGGUUUUUGAAGGCAGCAUAGAUCCUUCACUGCCUUUGAUAUCCCACAAUCCUGUGUG